UUGAACGCUGGCGGCAUGCUUUACACAUGCAAGUCGAACGGUAACAGGGUGCUUGCACCGCUGACGAGUGGCGAACGGGUGAGUAAUAUAUCGGAACGUACCUAGUAAUGGGGGAUAACUAUCCGAAAGGAUAGCUAAUACCGCAUACGCCCUGAGGGGGAAAGAGGGGGAUCGCAAGACCUCUCGUUAUUAGAGCGGCCGAUAUCAGAUUAGCUAGUUGGUGAGGUAAAGGCUCACCAAGGCAACGAUCUGUAGCGGGUCUUAGAGGACGAUCCGCCACACUGGAACUGAGACACGGUCCAGACUCCUACGGGAGGCAGCAGUGGGGAAUCUUGGACAAUGGGCGCAAGCCUGAUCCAGCAAUGCCGCGUGCGUGAAGAAGGCCUUCGGGUUGUAAAGCGCUUUUGUUCGGGAGGAAAUCCUAGUGGCUAAUAUCCAUUGGGGAUGACAGUACCGGAAGAAUAAGGACCGGCUAACUACGU
rnacentral:rRNA from 1 species